GUGCACACUUCAGCAGCAUGCAUACUAACAUUGGAACAAUACAGAGAUUAGCAUGCCCCUGCACAAGGAUGCCAUGCAGAUUUGUGAAUCGUUCCCUAUUUAA